GGCGGGACACGUGGUAUCCUGUCUGAAUAUGGGGGGACCAUCCUCCAAGGCUAAAUACUCCUGACUGACCGAUAGUGAACCAGUACCGUGAGGGAAAGGCGAAAAGAACCCCGGCGAGGGGAGUGAAAAAGAACCUGAAACCGUGUACGUACAAGCAGUGGGAGCACGCUUAGGCGUGUGACUGCGUACCUUUUGUAUAAUGGGUCAGCGACUUAUAUUCUGUAGCAAGGUUAACCGAAUAGGGGAGCCGAAGGGAAACCGAGUCUUAACUGGGCGUUAAGUUGCAGGGUAUAGACCCGAAACCCGGUGAUCUAGCCAUGGGCAGGUUGAAGGUUGGGUAACACUAACUGGAGGACCGAACCGACUAAUGUUGAAAAAUUAGCGGAUGACUUGUGGCUGGGGGUGAAAGGCCAAUCAAACCGGGAGAUAGCUGGUUCUCCCCGAAAGCUAUUUAGGUAGCGCCUCGUGAAUUCAUCUCCGGGGGUAGAGCACUGUUUCGGCAAGGGGGUCAUCCCGACUUACCAACCCGAUGCAAACUGCGAAUACCGGAGAAUGUUAUCACGGGAGACACACGGCGGGUGCUAACGUCCGUCGUGAAGAGGGAAACAACCCAGACCGCCAGCUAAGGUCCCAAAGUCAUGGUUAAGUGGGAAACGAUGUGGGAAGGCCCAGACAGCCAGGAUGUUGGCUUAGAAGCAGCCAUCAUUUAAAGAAAGCGUAAUAGCUCACUGGUCGAGUCGGCCUGCGCGGAAGAUGUAACGGGGCUAAACCAUGCACCGAAGCUGCGGCAGCGACGCUUAUGCGUUGUUGGGUAGGGGAGCGUUCUGUAAGCCUGUGAAGGUGUACUGUGAGGUAUGCUGGAGGUAUCAGAAGUGCGAAUGCUGACAUAAGUAACGAUAAAGCGGGUGAAAAGCCCGCUCGCCGGAAGACCAAGGGUUCCUGUCCAACGUUAAUCGGGGCAGGGUGAGUCGACCCCUAAGGCGAGGCCGAAAGGCGUAGUCGAUGGGAAACAGGUUAAUAUUCCUGUACUUGGUGUUACUGCGAAGGGGGGACGGAGAAGGCUAUGUUGGCCGGGCGACGGUUGUCCCGGUUUAAGCGUGUAGGCUGGUUUUCCAGGCAAAUCCGGAAAAUCAAGGCUGAGGCGUGAUGACGAGGCACUACGGUGCUGAAGCAACAAAUGCCCUGCUUCCAGGAAAAGCCUCUAAGCAUCAGGUAACAUCAAAUCGUACCCCAAACCGACACAGGUGGUCAGGUAGAGAAUACCAAGGCGCUUGAGAGAACUCGGGUGAAGGAACUAGGCAAAAUGGUGCCGUAACUUCGGGAGAAGG
rnacentral:rRNA from 1 species